AUUGAACGCUGGCGGCAUGGCUAAGACAUGCAAGUCGAACGGUCAACGCGAUCUUCGGAUCGUUAGUAAGUGGCGAAAGGGCGAGUAAUGCGUUCCUAUGUACCCCGAGGUCGAGGAUAGCCCAGGGAAACUUGGAGUAAUACUCGAUGUGGUGCUUCGGCAUCAAAGGCUUGCCGCCUUGGGAGCGGGGAACGUCCUAUCAGGUUGUUGGUGAGGUAAAGGCUCACCAAGCCGAAGACGGGUAGCGGGUGUGAGAGCAUGACCCGCCGCAUCGGGACUGAGACACUGCCCGGACUCCUACGGGAGGCUGCAGUAACGAAUAUUCCGCAAUGCGCGAAAGCGUGACGGAGCAAUGCCGCGUGCAGGAUGAAGCCCUUCGGGGUGUAAACUGCUGUCAGGGGCUACCAACACAAUGAGGACCCCCAAAGGAAGGGCCGGCUAACUUCGUG
rnacentral:rRNA from 1 species